UAUCCACUACUCGCCUGCCGGAGUCGUCUGAUUGUCCAUCGCUACACCGAAAUAACCGGGAAUACAAGUUGCUUUGCUAAGACCAAAAAUAACCACACCAUACAGUAACGUGAAAGACAACACAAACGAAUGGAUACACGAAAAUACUAUAAGAUGGACCAUAUGGCGAGAGAUGAUAUUUGAUGUACGAAUACGACGACGUUGAAGUCUACAACUGUCCGAAGCUUUUUUGACGAGACGAUCAAACGGUCCGUCUCUCUUUUUUUGCCACCCAAGAUGAAUUCGGACUAACCAUAAUUUUGAAACUUGCCACCAAAAAACAGCGCGAGUGACGACUUUAACCCAUUACGCGCCAAGUUCAAUGGCCGCGGGCCUUCAAUAGGCUUAGCCUAUUGCAAACAUUUUUCAAAUUUUGCCAAAUUACAUUCCGUUUUCACGGUGGGGUAAUGUAUAUACAUUUAUCAACAACUUUGUCUACCAUUACAGAAUGAUUGGCUGUUUUGGGAGUCCAACUUCAAAGAACAACGACAUCGACAUUGACAACUAAUCGCACUGAAGGUCUGAAGGAACGGGUGGGUACAUUGAACAAGGAAUGGUAUGGGUCGAAGUGGUCAACUCCGAUUUCAAUGGCAAAAUGUAGCUCACACACACACACACACACACACACACACACACACACACACACACACACACACACACACACACACACACACACACACACACACACACACACACACACACACACACACACACACACACACACACACACACACACACACACACACACACACACACACAGAGAGAGAGAGAUCUGAGAUUCUGGUUCAGGCUUUCCGUGUUCACAGCGGACCUUGAUUUAAUGUCUUACAAUUAAGGCACGCGGUGAAUGCCAAGAGCGGAGCCUGCUAUCGUCGGCGCGAGAGCACACAGCCUUCAUUAAAACAACACGCUAAAGGGAUAACGGAAAGCUUUGUGUGUCUGCAAUUGUUGUCCGUAAAUUGCCCUCUAUUUUGUAUUGUUUUCUUUUUUCAGAAUAAAGAAAUUGUACCCAA